rnacentral:rRNA from 1 species
GACGAACGCUGGCGGCGUGCUUAACACAUGCAAGUCGAACGGAAAGGCCCUGCUUUUGUGGGGUGCUCGAGUGGCGAACGGGUGAGUAACACGUGAGUAACCUGCCCUUGACUUUGGGAUAACUUCAGGAAACUGGGGCUAAUACCGGAUAGGAGCUCCUGCUGCAUGGUGGGGGUUGGAACGUUUCGGCGGUUGGGGAUGGACUCGCGGCUUAUCAGCUUGUUGGUGGGGUAGUGGCUUACCAAGGCUUUGACGGGUAGCCGGCCUGAGAGGGUGACCAGCCACAUUGGGACUGAGAUACGGCCCAGACUCCUACGGGAGGCAGCAGUGGGGAAUAUUGCACAAUGGGCGGAAGCCUGAUGCAGCAACGCCGCGUGCGGGAUGACGGCCUUCGGGUUGUAAACCGCUUUCGCCUGUGACGAAGCGUGAGUGACGGUAAUGGGUAAAGAAGCACCGGCUAACUACGUG